GUCAAAAUGAACUCAUUUGUUUUUCUGUUGGUUUUGGUGGCUGGGGUGGUUUCCACCAAAACGUUUUACCCGGAAAUCUCCAUUACUGGAGAAUCUGGAUUAAGAUUGGGUCUCGUGGAUGAGGAUGGAAUAGCACACGUUAUUUUCACAAUUCGGUCAAAGGACGGAGAGAGAAAAUAUGUCGUCGAAGCUAAAAAUGAUGAUGAUAUAUGGGAGUACGUUGAUCUCGAUUCCAACUCACUAACAGGAGAACUAGUAGAGUAUAAGACCUCUGUACUUUUCCAUG